AACGAACGCUUGCGGCGCGCCUAAUACAUGCAAGUCGAACGAGGUAGCAAUACCUAGUGGCGCACGGGUGAGUAACGCGUGGAUAAUCUGCCCUUCAGUGGGGAAUAACCAUCCGAAAGGAUGGCUAAUACCGCAUGAGGCCACAGUUCCUGCGGGAACAGAGGUUAAAGAUUUAUCGCUGAAGGAUGAGUCUGCGUGGGAUUAGCUAGUUGUGGGGUAACGGCCUACCAAGGCGACGAUCUCUAAACUGGUACUGAGAGGAUGACCAGUCACACUGGAACUGAGACACGGUCCAGACUCCUACGGGAGGCAGCAGUAGGGAAUAUUGCGCAAU
rnacentral:rRNA from 1 species